GCCGGUGUGGUGUAGUGGGCUGAGUGCUGGACUGUGAUUCUGGAGAACAGGGUUCAAAUCCCUGCUCAGUCA